AAGAUACCCCCCCAAAAAAAUCAGGUUCUCAAUUAUUAACAAAUUCAAAUUGUAGCACCACCUUUGAAGCCCCAAGCCUAAAGCUGCACUUUCAUUUGUCCAACAUCCCCUCAUGGUCGAGAAAUACAGUGUGCAUGACACUACAUUAUUAAAAUACUCUCAUGGCUGUUUAUAAAGAGCGUGCGACCUUCGCUGAAUGCACUUCAGUGAAUAAACCUCAAGGAUAUUUCUCUGCAACAUAAGGUACUGGGGUUCUCUCAUGCAUGAAGUAGACUAUUGAGGCCUUUGACAAAGGAUCACAAAGUGAAAUCUGUGACCGACCAUAAUAAGCCACUUUAGAGCGUCAGUGAAACAGUUAUUCAGCUCAUAAAUUUAUACUUGGCACAUAUCAGCUUUUUCUCUUCAUCUCGGUGUGUGACUGAUUCUGACUCGACCUGUUACUGAUAAUGUGGGAGGUGGAAUUUGGACAAAUUGUGCCCAUGAGUCUGUGAGAAAACUGCUAUUUGGCUGGGGAGCAGAAUGUGUGAAUAAUUUCAAGGAACCCCUAUCAAAAGAUUAAAUAUUCUGUCAAUACCUCACUGAAGGAAAGGACAGUGCAAGCUCUGAGCCUGUGCGUGUGAACUUCUGAGCAUCUCGUUAAACUGGGGGAUGAUAUGCUGUUGUGCCAAAGAGGAAAAAAAGGAGGUCUCAUCACAAGGAUAAAAACAUCUGAAUGAAACUUAUCAGUGCCAACAACAGCCGUCUGGACAUACAUAUAUUUCCAAGCACUGGAGCUGCGGAGAGGGACUGACGUCAAUACAUCUACAAUUUUUAUCAACGAAACAUCAAGCUUAGCGAGAGUCUGGUUGUGUUCAACACGUGAAUAGGAUACGAUAUCACAAGCCAUCAUGUCCGAGCAGAGAAGUUCCAGGACGAGUCCCACCUCCACCAUCAAGCGCCGGGGAGCCAUUCGCAGGAAACCCCACCACAGUCAUCCCACUGCUGACACCGAGAAUCCAAUCUUUGCCUACCUGGUCAAACUGUGGAACUUGACCAACUGGAUUCUGCCAGACGUGGUCAACAGAGUGCCCGAGGAACACCGGACUUUCGUCGCCCACUUGUUGGGCGUUCUCAAGAUAUGUCUGCUGCUCCUGGCGGGGCAUUUAUUACUUCGAGUUUUCUUUGGUGGUUAAUUUCUCUGUAUUUUCUCUGAUUGGUCAGUUUAAGUUUAAACUUGUACAUAGAAUUUCUACAAUGUGAAAGGCUUUUAUGUAAAUCUUGACUUGGAGGUGUCAAUGUGGUGCCUAGUCACAUCUACAUUUUGCAAUUUCUUUGCAACGUUGUAGUUAUGCCCAUUUCUUGCUUUUGGAAAAAACAUUGACAGGCAUACACACUUAACUUGAUAGCCUUACCAUUUUUUUUUUUUACCUGAAGAGAAAGAAUCUUCCUCCAUUUUUCGUGAUCCCCUUACCUGUUUUUAACAUUUUGUCAUGCCACAUCUCUGUGUUAAAAUAAAUGUCUUGCACGCUUCUCAAACCAUUUUGUACAAUUCAGAUGUAACAUUUUCGCAAAAUGAUCAAUUUUUGAAGUAAGAUGGGGAAAAAGUUUACGCUUUCAAGUGCAAUUCAAAAGAGCAGCUUUGUGCAAUGGUGAUAAGAAAUUCAUGAACUGAUGUAACCGUUGCAGUCAAAGCUUCCAUUGACUGAUCGACCAACUUUGUGCUGACCACAUCUCGACAUAGGAGGAUUAUCUAAUGAAUAUAACUGUAAAAAUGCUUUGUCCAACUUGGCUGAAACAUGGCUAGGUGGUUCUAAAUCAAAUUUGUUGCUUUUUGCUAUUGAAAGUGGCAGACAAGAACACUAAUGCCAUUUUUUGCCACUUUCUAUUUAAAGGUCAGUUUUCAAUGCAAGACCCUAUUUUGUCCAUCCAAAUUAUAGGUCAUCCCUAGCUUUAUUCAGUCAAAGAACAGAAUAAAGUGUUCCAAUUACUGAGUUAUAAUAUGAAGUUAUGAAUACGUACCGUUUAGUUGUCUGUCCUGAUGUCCAUCUAGCUACAGGGCAGGACUAUUCCACAUUUCACAAUUCACCUCUUGGCAAUCCAAAACAGCAGUAUGGAAUACUUCCAGGCUAAGUUCUGAGAUCAAGUCUUGGGGAGAAGUCAGAACAGGAUUGGGCCAAAAAAGUUUAUGCUGUGCAUGUACAACCCCAUAGUCUUCCAAAACAGAAAACAAUAUCUUCUCAGGCAUAUAAAGCAUAUCAAAUGUGUCCUUCCUCUUCUGGAUGUAAUCCUAUCCUUAUGAUCACUCAAAAAAAAAAAAAAUUUGAAGCAGUUCCUUGUCAUUCAAAACUCAUUUCUGUGUAAACAUGGGGUACAUGUACAUGUACAUGUGGAUUACAAUGAAGUCUUGCCACAAGACUUGUAACACAUACGUGUACCAAUCAUGUAAUACAUCUUCAAUGAAAGACUGUUUGGAUCCAGACUAACUACAACUGAUCCUGAUUUCCUCUGCGACAUUCCAAGCAGAACUGUUGGCAAACUAGAUCUCAAACUGUUAACUGAGGAUAUUCCAUACGACCCCUAAGGACUCGCAUGUGAACACAAACGCUAGUGUAAUUCAGCAACCGGAAAUGGAAGCCAUUACUACGAUGGCACCACGCUCGUGGACCAGUGGUACGCACGCGAUACAUGCCUCUCUGACCAAUAGGGUGCAUUGAUUUGUCAAGUGUAAGGAUGCAUCAAGCUUAAGAACCACGAGUGCAGUGCAGUGUAACCUUUUCAAGAGUCAAUGCACAGUGUGACCAUUUUUAAUUGGUAGGGAAACUUUUGACCAGAUUGUAUGGAAUCUGGAGUGUUCCAACAAUGUUUGGGAUUCCGAAAAUAAUUGUGAGUUCCAUCGCAAAACCACGCUGAAGAAACACAAGCUAUUUUCUGGAGACAGAUACCAACUAACCGUGAAGUACUGUAUGUGUAUUCCACUAUUUUCCUUGCCCAUAACUUCCAAAGUUUUCUGCAGACAAGAAGAAUUACUUCUUACUAAUAAUUGUUAACUAAGCCUGGUUUUAGGGGCACGAGGUCACAAUUAUCACAUGAGAGUGUGCAAUCACGUGUGUGAAUGGCAGAAGUUCAUAUACCGCCUUGCUGUUUUAAUACGAGAAUGUGAAUGCAGAAAAAAUGGGACAGGGUCAAUAUUUUCAUGCAUAAAUUUUUAGCAAUAAAACAUUCAAGGUUGUUACUAAUAGUACUAUGAAAACAGAAUUUUAAAUACAAAAGCAUUUUAAAUUUCAGUGUUGCUAUAAGCCCCUUUCCAAAGUCAUCAAGUUCAUUUAAACAAAUGGUUGUACCUGUCAGAAGGAAUGACCCUUGCCAAACCAGACAAUCUCUGAAACUCAGACUUGCAAGAUUAUGUAAUUUGGAGCUGCAUUGUGAACCUUUAGGGUCAUGUCUUGCAUACCUGUGUCAGGUGUGAGUCCCAAUACCCAAAGUCCUACUCAUUUAGAAUACUCAGUCACCCCUGUCUCAGUUCUCAAGCUUGAUUCCCACUGCAUAACAAUCACAUCUUGGUUUUGUACUCGAUGACUCAGAACAGGUCUGAACUCUAGCACUAGCAAAUUAAAAUAAUAUACAUGUACAUGUAAGUCUUAUUGUGCCUAAAGACUCGAUAAAAAUGUCAGGAUCUUUAAUAUACAAUGCAAUCUGUGUAUGAAAUAAAAGUACAUGUAUUCUUCUACAUGGAGGGAAUGUUUGAAACGUCACCAACAAGGUUGUUACUGCCUAAACGAUUGCACAAUGAUCCGCUGACAAUCAUAAAAUAAUAAAUUAGGUAAAUCUGAUUAACAUGUAUGUAUGUAUUUAUGCGGACUGAUACAGGAAAAAACUGAAACCAACAUUAAAAAUAGGAACGUGGAAAAGCAACUGAGCCACCCAACCAUUUAUAUAUCUUUAUGUGUUGCACCAGAGAAUUCAAUUGAAAUUGAAUUAAAUUGAGUGUGUGACCUUGCUUUUCUAAAAAAAAAAACAAAGCUCACUCAUGAAAUGGUACACGUAACUUCAAAUCCUUAAGUUUUUCAGUUAAAUUUUUGUCUUGGCUCGUUGCUCUAGGAAUAAGAAUUCAAGAGUAUUGACAACUCGGAAUUGGAACAUUUUUCUGCAUGACUUAAACACUCUUGUCAUGGAAACAGGUCUGACAUGCACAGACCUAUAAACAUCCCGCCCACCUGAGUUGUCAAGCCCCUCCCUUCCCUCUUCCCCAUUUUAAGUAUUGAGGCCAUGAAUCACACUGAUACAUUUAUGUACAUGUAUUGGUAUUAGGCAAGGUCAGCACACUUGAACAGAGUCUUACAAAAUGUACUGCACGGUCCAUUCCAUUACAAACAAGGAAAUACUCAUAAAGCAAAACAUCUCCAAUCUGCUUUCCCUGGCUGGAAAAAGCACAAUCUUAAGAGUACAAGCUGAUUGAUGUCUAACUCCACUGCUAAAACAGUUGCUCGACAACUCUUCAUUGUUUCCUGUUUGAACUUUGAAAACAACAAACUGGGUGUACAAACUAGCCAGGAGCAAUGUCAGUUUUUGUUUGGGGGCAUGCUGCAGGAGUGCAGUAUCUCUGAACACUUGGCUGCUCACGUGAAGCAGCAUGAAACUCGCAGAGAUCUGGACAACUCCAGAAUGAGUCAACGUGUAAGGGCUGCAUCCAAAGCACACAGCUAUGGCUAAAAAAUUACACAUGCCCCCAUGGAAGCCAUCAGCUAGUGGCUUUGUCCAUUUCCCAUCGACCUUUGUGAUCUCCAACCACAGUCAAGUCAUUCUGACACAGCCCAAAGUCAAUGGAUAGUGAUGUCAAAUGUCAAAAAACCACUGAAUAUCUGUUCGUUCAUACCUUAAAAUAAACUUUCUCUGUGAGUAGCGAAGUCAGUCAACAAAUGACAUGUAAUGAACAGUACCAUAGUACCUCAAGAGGAAAAAGUACAUCAAUGUAACUUCUUAACCUGUGAUAACUUUCUAAAUUUACUAUGUACAUGGUUUUUAUGUACAACUUCAAAAAAUCACAUAAAAGGAAGACCUUGAGCUUAACAGAGAAAACUAUUUUGAUGUUCUCAAACCAGAGGGUGGACACCAACACCAGAAAGUAUGUUAACAAACUUCUUGACAAGAGUAAACCACUUCCCCUUCAUCAUUACAUCAACUGUACACUUCCGAAUACAACAAUACAUUCAAACUGAUCGUAUGUGAUAAAGACAUACCAGUACAAGGUGAAUACUUUCCCCAGAACCAAUGUAAGAUUGAACUAUCCCCUGGAAAUAGAAGAGCUACUUUUAUCCACAUGUGUCGUCACAAUCAUUUUGAUAACAAUGUGCUGCUUCUUUACUGGUAGGGUCAUCCCUGUUUUGCCAACUUCAGAAAGAUCUACUUGUUCAAUUAAGAUCAUAAAACGUGCAAAAAAUAAUUUAUCUUGUCUCCUGUCAUCUAAAAACCCCUCACUGCCAUUUUUUUAAGAUUCUUGUUGCUGUACUUUCAAUUGAUACUUUUAGUAUCGAUUGAUUUUUCAAGACCAGGUGUGUACGGAUUUAUAGCACACUCCAGACUUAUGGUUUUGUACCUGUUCAUAGUCUGCAACUGAUAAAGAAAGCUUACAUAGGCCAUGUCUGCUAUGGACAUCAUCUCCAUGGCAACAGCUAUUCUUUGUAUACUACCAAUACCUGAUUGCACAAGACACCUGAUUCUUAAUUAGACCAAGACACGUCCAUUUCUCAUUUGCAUGGCAGUCAGCACACUGUGACGUCAUGUGCUUGUAGUGGUACAUGUACAUUUAACCAUGCUCAACAGCCAAAAUUCAAUUUGUCAAAGGUCACCAGGGCCCAAUACGCGCAAUUCACAAUAGUGAUCCUCCAAGAGCUUGCAGUGUGUUUGCCAAUCACGAUGCGCGACAUCUGUCGACCCAGUGCGCAUUUGGAAAGGGUCAACAGAUUUUGCGCGCUGUGAUUGGCCAACACGUUGCGAAGUCUUGGAGACACACUAUUGUGAAUUGCCUAUAUUUUAGGGUGCCGCUAAGCACACGAUUUUACACUGAGGCUCUGUGCACGGUAUUUCAUGGAGACCCUGAGCUGUAAGCACGGCAAAAAGCGCACUUAUCUUGGAGGAAAAAGUCUUAACAUUUUGACUAAACAAUGGAAAUUUCUAUGCGAGGACAACCAUAAACACAACCACGAAUGCCAGGAAACAGUGGUUAAGGUUAACAAAACUUUUCUGCUGUCGUAAGUACGCCUUUUCGGCUGUUACGCAACUCCAUGAAAUUGAGCCCAGGAGUAUGCUAUGGUCGAUAUUGGGUAUUUUUAUAAUGAAUACCGCCAUAUUCCAGCGUGUUUCAUUAGGAUAUUGACGUGCACAUGACAAUUUAAACUCAUAUGACACCGUAAUAUAUUUACAACUGACAGCUUUUUUGGUUUUGACAAAAAAUACAUUUAAAAUGUGUUCAUACCGGGGAUUACAAAAUUAAAAUAUAUGAAUUUUAACAGAUCUGGGAGAUUUACAACAACUCACAGAAGUGCUAGACAACAUGAUUAAAAACUACGUGUACCAUGCUGAGUUCGAAGUCCUUUCUUUUGAAAUCAAAAUGACAGUUGUUUAUCACUUCAAUUUCAGCGAAAACAUAAUAACCAUAGCAACAUUAUUUCCUCCAAACAGUAUUUUUAGAAUUCCUCUUUAAAAAUUUAACCACCCAAAGUCAUUUUUGUGACUUCAUGACAAUAGCUUAAAACGACAAAAAAUAUGAAAUACAAAAUUACAAAGCAAGUAAUUUUCAACAUAGCAAAAGUACAUAACCUUUUAUCAAUGAAAACACCACAUCGAAAAAUGAUUCCAUGGAUACCUGUUUAUAUUUCAGGCUUCAAUCAAUCAAGUUAAAUAUACAAAUAAGUGUCCUUGCAAUAUGAAGGAUGUUUAGAGUGAUCCACUUCAGAGCUGUAGCUUCUUCCUCUAUGACUGAACAGAGCAACUACACAAUGAGUAAUCAGAAUAAGUCCCAUUUCAUAAUAACUACUGACACUGAAUUGUUGGCACCAGUAGAGCAAGACUACUGACCGGAACCAGACUAAAACCUACAACCUCUGGUUAAAACCCAAGUUAUUGUCACUGCAAUAAAGUAUGCUGAUUUGUUGAGUAACUCUCCUUCUCAGUCACAGUUAAAAAUCUUGUACACUUACAAUUGUCAGUCAGUUUAUGAGGACAAUUCCAAACCCUUAUUCUCAAACUCCAAGUGUACAAUUUUAUGAUUUUGAAUCACAAUGGCUUUAAUCAAAGUACAACCAAUGAUUUUCUCGGCAGGUACAGCUUCUUCCCUUUCACGGAGUAACCAAGGGCUCCUGACAGUUUGGGAUAUGGGUGUAUCUGUGAGGCUAUGAAGUACAUGACAUGUAACACGAGAUGUUUUUAUUUUUCACGGUACCUUCCAAUCCAGUGGGAUUGCAUGCAACCACUUUGGCCAUUUUUGCAUCAGCUGAACCUCAAAUGUCAACAGCGCGAGCGCACAGGGUCCUCUUUUCAUUAUUGACGGUCCAGACAUUUCCGAGCAAAAU